CACGUAGGGCGCGAGCGUUGUCCGGAAUUAUUGGGCGUAAAGAGCUCGUAGGCGGCCUGUUGCGUCCGCUGUGAAAGCUCGGGGCUUAACCCCGGGUCGGCAGUGGAUACGGGCAGGCUAGAGGUAGGUAGGGGAGAAUGGAAUUCCCGGUGUAGCGGUGAAAUGCGCAGAUAUCGGGAGGAACACCGGUGGCGAAGGCGGUUCUCUGGGCCUUACCUGACGCUGAGGAGCGAAAGCGUGGGGAGCGAACAGG
rnacentral:rRNA from 1 species